rnacentral:misc_RNA from 1 species
GAAAUGCGAUACUUGGUGUGAAUUGCAGAAUCCCGUGAACCAUCGAGUCUUUGAACGCAAGUUGCGCCCGAAGCCAUUAGGCCGAGGGCACGCCUGCCUGGGUGUCACACAUCGUUUCCCCAAAUCAAACAUACGACCUCAGAGUAGGCGAGAUUACCCGCUAAAUUUAA